UUUGUCAUUGACAGGUUGUGCUGCUGGUGGAAUUUCAUUUGAAUUUUUUUCGGUGAAUUGGGAUGGUGGAAAUUGUGGUGCCUUCGGACGAGAGGUGAAAAUACAGGCGGUCAGUUGUUGGUGUGUUGGUUUUUGUGUGCGCACAGACCAGGUGCGCAGAGCCUCCGGUUGCCGUCCGGUUAUUCUCAGAGGUUUACCCCACCCUUGGUAUUUACCUGGGGCACCAUGAGAUCACUCUCUCUCGCACUCGUUGGGAAUUCUGUCUGCCCGGUCUACCCUCUGGAAGGAAUUCUCGAGAAUUUAUCAGUGAGAGCACCUACAGCAUUGGGCUAAUGGUUUCCGGGGGUCGGGGGGUGGCAAUCAGGUGAUUGGACCUUCAGGGGAGGGAAUUUUUCAAAUUUCAUAUCACCAAAUGAAAAAACCACAAUAACAGUCUGAUGGGAACUGAAGAAACUCUUGAUUUUUUGAUGAAUUAUUGAUGACGACUUGCACCUAAUAACGGAAAAUAUUUACUCAAUCAUUUUGGUAAUCAUUGUUUUAUAAAUGGAGUCAGGGGGACAUAAAACAAUUGUGCAAUGAGGGGUCGAGAUUUUUCUUGUUGCAUGUACAAUUGUUUCUGCCUGACUGAUUUUAAGAGAUAAUUCCCAAAGACAUUCUUCAUUCUAAAAAAAAUCGUCAUAAAUCUCUGAAUCUCUUAAAAAACAUCAAGAGAUUUUAUUAGUUAAAAAAAUUCUGGACGUUUCUUUAGAUGAAGAUAUUCUCGAUGAAACAAGAUGAUUGCUUCUGUCAACAACUAGAGUGUAUUCACCUCUGGCUGUUGUCGAUUUAUCGAUAGAGACCAGAGGAAUCGCAAAUUUCUAUCUCUGAGGCCUGAGGCAACCCUAGAAUGGAUGAUUAUUUGCUCACGAGACCUCUUUCCCUCUGGUUCCCGUGAUAUCGAGAUAGAUAAACCGAGAGCAAAUCGACGGCGAUUGUAGUUUAUGUUAAAAACACUGAAAAUAUAUUUUUCAUCUGUUUUCUUGGAUUUCUCCACGAGAUUCGAUCAUACCUGUAGAAUAAUAUUUUACGCGCCAAAGGUUAUCGUGCUGAUAUUUAUUAUUGUUGCACACCUUGAGUGCGAGGUGUACAUCUUCUAGUAUUUAUUUUCAGAUGUAUGUGCCGUCAAUGAGUGAUGUGAAUAUGUUAUUUAGAUAAAUUAACACCUCCAGUUCGUCACGAGUGCAGGAUUUUCAUUCAAAUCCAACGCUAAUUAUCGGUUGACUAAUUUUUAUCCUUUCCUCACUUUCUUAGUGUACAUAUGCGGCAUUCCAUGUCAACUCGUGAAAUUUCAACCAUUUAUCAUUUUUUAUUUAUUUGCAAA